rnacentral:rRNA from 1 species
CCUACGGGUGGCUGCAGUGAGGAAUAUUGGUCAAUGGAGGCAACUCUGAACCAGCCAAGUCGCGUGCAGGACGACGGCCCUAUGGGUUGUAAACCUCUUUUAUCCGGGGAUAAACUGAGUCACGUGUGGCCUAUUGCAUGUACCGCAUGAAUAAGGACCGGCUAAUUCCGUGCCAGCAGCCGCGGUAAUACGGAAGGUCCGAGCGUUAUCCGGGUUUAUUGGGUUUAAAGGGUGCGAAGGCCGACCGUUAAGUGUGGUGUGAAAUACCGGGGCUCAACCGUGGCACAGCAGCGGAAACUGGGAGGCUGGAGUGGGCGGGAGGUAGGCGGAAUGCGUGGUGUAGCGGUGAAAUGCUUAGAUAUCACGAAGAACUCCGAUUGCGAAGGCAGCAUACCGUAGCGUUACUGACGCUGAGGCACGAAGGCGCGGGUAUCGAACAGGAUUAGAUACCCUAGUAGUC